rnacentral:rRNA from 1 species
CCUACGGGAGGCAGCAGUGAGGAAUAUUGGUCAAUGGACGAGAGUCUGAACCAGCCAAGUAGCGUGAAGGAUGACUGCCCUAUGGGUUGUAAACUUCUUUUAUAUGGGAAUAAAAUGUUCCACGUGUGGGAUUUUGUAUGUACCAUAUGAAUAAGGAUCGGCUAACUCCGUGCCAGCAGCCGCGGUAAUACGGGGGAUCCGAGCGUUAUCCGGAUUUAUUGGGUUUAAAGGGAGCGUAGGCGGAUAGUUAAGUCAGUGGUGAAAGUUUGCGGCUCAACCGUAGAAUUGCAGUUGAAACUGGCAGUCUUGAGUACAGGAGAGGUAGGCGGAAUUCGUGGUGUAGCGGUGAAAUGCUUAGAUAUCGCGAAGAACUCCGAUUGCGAAGGCAGCGCACUGGACUGCGACUGACGCUGAGGCACGAAAGUGUGGGGAUCAAACAGGAUUAGAUACCCGAGUAGUC